GAAGGAGGGACUGCGGAACAGCCUCUUGUUUCCAGAAAAGAAUUGUUCCAGAAAGAUCAGAAAGGAAAGGUAAUUAUGAAGAGAAGCUGAAUCAGAAGAUGGAGUAGACUGUAUUUCUAGCUCCAAGAUGUUAGCUGGACAUCUGGGCAGAGCCUCCUCAGUGCCUCUCAUCGUGAGGACGUGGACUGCCAUCCUCUCUCUGUCCCACCUGUCCCUGCCCGUCCACCAUUCUCCUUCUUGCUGAUCCAGCUUCUCACGUGCCGCAGGACAAAGAAGCUGUGAAAUGAAAAUCCUGGCAAAUUGCCAAAGGUAGUAAAACUAUUUAAUGACAGAAUUGGAAGCAGAACACAUCAUGCCUGCCUCCCAACCCAGUGCAAACAGAUACGUGUAUUUCUACAAGUUUUCAGGCUAUGGUUACCUAGAGAUUAUUUGUGAAGAGAUUUAUGAAUUAAACACAUGCUUUAAGUAUU